rnacentral:rRNA from 1 species
UGGGGAAUAUUGCACAAUGGGGGAAACCCUGAUGCAGCGACGCCGCGUGAGCGAAGAAGGUUUUCGAAUCGUAAAGCUCUGUCCUAUGAGAAGAUAAUGACGGUAUCAUAGGAGGAAGCCACGGCUAACUACGUGCCAGCAGCCGCGGUAAUACGUAGGUGGCAAGCGUUGUCCGGAAUUAUUGGGCGUAAAGCGCGCGCAGGCGGCUACUUAAGUCCAUCUUAAAAGUGCGGGGCUUAACCCCGUGAUGGGAUGGAAACUGAGAAGCUGGAGUGUCGGAGAGGAAAGUGGAAUUCCUAGUGUAGCGGUGAAAUGCGUAGAGAUUAGGAAGAACACCGGUGGCGAAGGCGACUUUCUGGACGACAACUGACGCUUAGGCGCGAAAGCGUGGGGAGCAAACAGG